rnacentral:rRNA from 1 species
GACGAACGCUGGCGGCGUGCUUAACACAUGCAAGUCGAGCGGAAAGGCCCUUCGGGGUACUCGAGCGGCGAACGGGUGAGUAACACGUGAGUAACCUGCCCCAGACUUUGGGAUAACCCUCGGAAACGGGGGCUAAUACCGGAUACGACACAGCUUCGCAUGGGGUCUGUGUGGAAAGUUUUUCGGUUUGGGAUGGGCUCGCGGCCUAGCAGCUUGUUGGUGGGGUGAUGGCCUACCAAGGCGACGACGGGUAGCCGGCCUGAGAGGGCGACCGGCCACACUGGGACUGAGACACGGCCCAGACUCCUACGGGAGGCAGCAGGGGGGAAUAUUGCACAAUGGGCGGAAGCCUGAUGCAGCGACGCCGCGUGAGGGAUGACGGCCUUCGGGUUGUAAACCUCUUUCAGCAGGGACGAAGCGUAAGUGACGGUACCUGCAGAAGAAGCGCCGGCCAACUACGUG